AACCUAUAACCAUAUAAAAAAGACAACUCUGUUCCGCAGAGAAGCUGUUGACAUUUAGUUGCGCAGGAACUUUGUUGACUCUAGAGAACCUCGGGCAAAUCGCACAUCCCCGUGGCGGCGACUUUGCAUGCGGAUGUCAUCCAUAUCGAUUUUCGAUGCCAGUUUCUGUGCCCACCAUGGUGACCACGGGUAAUGGGGAAUCAGGGUUCCAUUCCGUACAGGGACCCUGAGAAACGGCUACCACAUGCAAGGAAGGCAGCAGGCGCGCAAAUGACCCACUCCCGACGCGGGAAGGUAGUGA